rnacentral:rRNA from 1 species
GGUUACUGCUAUCGGUGUUCGCCUAAGCCAUGCGAGUCAUAUGUUCGUAAGAACAUGGCGUACUGCUCAGUAACACGUGGAUAACCUGCCCUUGGGUCCGGCAUAACCCCGGGAAACUGGGGAUAAUUCCGGAUAACGCACAUAUGCUGGAAUGCUUUUUGCGUAAAAUGGAUUCGUCUGCCCAAGGAUGGGUCUGCGGCCUAUCAGGUAGUAGUGGGUGUAAUGUACCUACUAGCCUACGACGGGUACGGGUUGUGAGAGCAAGAGCCCGGAGAUGGAUUCUGAGACAUGAAUCCAGGCCCUACGGGGCGCAGCAGGCGCGAAAACUUUACAAUGCGGGAAACCGUGAUAAGGGGACACCGAGUGCCAGCAUCCUAUGCUGGCUGUCCGGGUGUGUAAAAUACACCUGUUAGCAAGGGCCGGGCAAGACCGGUGCCAGCCGCCGCGGUAACACCGGCGGCCCGAGUGGUGAUCGUGAUUAUUGGGUCUAAAGGGUCCGUAGCCGGUUUGGUCAGUCCUCCGGGAAAUCUGACAGCUCAACUGUUAGGCUAUCGGAGGAUACUGCCAGACUUGGAACCGGGAGAGGUAAGAGGUACUACAGGGGUAGGAGUGAAAUCUUGUAAUCCCUGUGGGACCACCUGUGGCGAAGGCGUCUUACCAGAACGGGUUCGACGGUGAGGGACGAAAGCUGGGGGCACGAACCGGAUUAGAUACCCGGGUAGUCCCAGCCGUAAACGAUGCUCGCUAGGUGUCAGGCAUGGCGCGACCGUGUCUGGUGCCGCAGGGAAGCCGUGAAGCGAGCCACCUGGGAAGUACGGCCGCAAGGCUGAAACCUAA